rnacentral:tRNA from 1 species
ACUAUUUUGACAGAAAAUUGUGAUGGUUUUAGAAGUCAUUUAUAUAUACUAUGUAUGUAUAUAAGUAGUA